rnacentral:rRNA from 1 species
GACAGAGGGUGCAAACGUUGUUCGGAAUUACUGGGCGUAAAGCGAGUGUAGGCGGUCUCCUAAGUCGGGUGUGAAAGCCCCGGGCUCAACCUGGGAAUUGCAUUUGAGACUGCGUAGCUAGGGUGCGGAAGAGGGAAGCGGAAUUUCCGGUGUAGCGGUGAAAUGCGUAGAUAUCGGAAGGAACACCAGUGGCGAAAGCGGCUUCCUGGUCCAGCACCGACGUUCAGGCACGAAAGCGUGGGGAGCAAACAGG